rnacentral:rRNA from 1 species
AACGAACGCUGGCGGCGUGCCUAACACAUGCAAGUCGAGCGCGAAUGGAGCAAUCCUAGUAGCGCGGCGCACGGGUGCGUAACACGUGGGUAAUCUGCCUGGGAGACCGGAAUAACCUGCCGAAAGGCUGGCUAAUGCCGGAUAAGCCCACGGACUCUUCGGAGUCUGAGGGAAAAGGUGGCCUCUGUAUACAAGCUAUCACUUCCAGAUGAGCCCGCGGCCCAUCAGCUCGUUGGCGGGGUAAAGGCCCACCAAGGCAACGACGGGUAGCUGGUCUGAGAGGACGAUCAGCCACACUGGAACUGAGACACGGUCCAGACUCCUACGGAGGCAGCAGUGGGGAAUUUUGCACAAUGGGCGAAAGCCUGAUGCAGCAACGCCGCGUGUGUGAUGAAGGUCUUC